AACGAACGCUGGCGGCAGGCUUAACACAUGCAAGUCGAGCGCCCCGCAAGGGGAGCGGCAGACGGGUGAGUAUCGCGUGGGAAUCUACCCAUCUCUACGGAAUAACGCAUGGAAACGUGUGCUAAUACCGUAUACGUCCUUCGGGAGAAAGAUUUAUCGGAGAUGGAUGAGCCCGCGUUGGAUUAGCUAGUUGGUGGGGUAAAGGCCUACCAAGGCGACGAUCCAUAGCUGGUCUGAGAGGAUGAUCAGCCACACUGGGACUGAGACACGGCCCAUACUCCUACGGGAGGCAGCAGUGGGGAAUAUUGGACAAUGGGCGCAAGCCUGAUCCAGCCAUGCCGCGUGAGUGAUGGAGGCCCUAGGGUUGUAAAGCUCUUUCACCGGUGAAGAUAAUGACGGUAACCGGAGAAGAAGCCCCGGCUAACUUCGUGCCAGCCGCCGCGGUAAAAC
rnacentral:rRNA from 1 species